rnacentral:misc_RNA from 1 species
GAACAUUGGUCUUCUUUCGUAGCGAACUUAUACGAGCAAUUAGUCCUCUCUGUCUGGCUGUUUGUCUGUCUCUCUCUGCACGAUACCAAUCGUACAUUAUGAAUACAUCCUUUUGACUUAUUUGCAUAAUCUAUUUCGCAAUUCCAUCAUCCAUCCAUCCAUCAGAUCUCAUAAGUAUGAUGUAAUUUCUCCCUCCACCCCUGCACGGCGAGAAAAUAAGCAAUGGCAACUCAUUUGAACGCGUUCACAAGCGACGCUAUGGAUUGUGCUAUCAAAUACCAAUCUUCAGAGAUGGACAAGCUACGCCAAACCCAGAAAAUAAGAUAAUCGUUCAUAUUUCUUACAACAUCAAGUUACACCAAGAAGACAUUUCUCGAAGUUACCUCUCAUUCAAAACAUCUCGCUCACAUGGAAGAGUCUCCUCGCCGACGCAUUCGAACGCGGGAAGCAGUUACCCGAUCACAAGCGCCUCGACGGAAAAAGUUUCGCAUUUUUGUAGAAGGAAUCACACAAAAUGUCUCUGUCGGCCCUGGAAGAGGAAGUUAGGAAUCAUGUAGAAGGAAAUAUCUACGAUAAAGAACACAACCCGGACGGCAUCGUCGUGCUGUCCCAAGCCGUUAACCGCAUUCUGGUGGAUGAGGUGCUGGAGAGGUUGAACAGAGAAGAUUGUUCAACUUUGAGGAAAAAGCACCUCUUAUAUUCUCCUUCUCAUGGUACCAAGGAGAUGCGAGAGGCUUGUGCGACAUUCCUCACGCGACAACAUUUCCCAAUGGAGGCCAUCCAUCCAGACCAUCUCAUUAUCAUGCCAGGGGUCACUGCCUGCAUGGAAAGCCUUGCACGUUCACUCUGUAAUCCAGGCGAUGUGGUACUUUCUCCGUCACCAAUAUAUCAUCGAGUAAAGACCAACUUUGAAGAUGCUGGAGCUAGAAUUAUUCAUAUGAUUACAACACAAGAUAACAACUUUGAGCUUACGCCUGAACAGGUGGAGGCCAGCAUUGUAGAAGUGCAAAGUGAGGGAGAGUGUGUGAGAGCCUGUGUCCUGGUCAACCCUCAGAACCCACUUGGCCAAGUGAUGACGCCAAGUUUCCUCAGGGCCAUUUUAGAGAUCUGUGCUAGGUAUGAAGUCCAUGUUGUGGUAGACGAGAUCUUUGGAUUCUCUGUCUUUGCCAGUGAUAUUUCUUUUACAAGUCUUCUGGCUCUUGAAGAUCUGCCUGACCCCCACAGGACCCAUGUCUUUUGGGGAUUCAGUAAGGAUUUCUGCAUUGCUGGUUUACGAAUGGGACUCAUUCACACUGUGAAUCCCCAGUUGCUGACUAAGCUUAAGAUUCAAUCUCACUAUCACUCAACGUCACAGCAAACUCAGCUUGCUGUAGCUACCAUGAUCAGUGACACAGUUUGGUGUGACAACUUCCUUGACUCCAGCAGGAAGAAACUGGCUGAAGCAUAUGCAAAAGCUUGCAAGCUGAUGGAAGACCUCCAGAUCCAAGUGCUUGAAGCCAAGGGAGCCUUUUUCCUGUGGGCCAACUUCCAGCCCUUCCUCACUGAGCCUACUGUAGAGGCUGAGUAUGAGCUGUGCAGGGCCUUCUUGUAUGGUGGCGUGAGUGUCAUCCCUGGCACCAAGUUCCAUUGUUCAGAGCCAGGAUGGUUUAGAAUCCUCUUCUCUGUACCGGAAGAAGAACUACGAGAAGGUCUAAAAAGAUUAGGAGCAGUUAUCAGUAAUCGGAGGUGACAGUAAGUCACAGCUUGGCUCCCUUUGAAUAGACAGUUAUGCCAGUUAAGUUGGUUAGUUAAGUGACAGAGUCCAUACAUAUAAAAGAACACUGAAGCAGAAGAUGGACUGUAUUGCAAAGAUGACCAAUGAUUUGGAUUUAUUUUUGUCAAGAGUGGCUUGUGACUGUGGUGUUCCCAUAUCUCUGGUUUCUGUAAUUACUUGCUUAGUGUUCAGAAGAUGAUUGACACAACUGAAAUUACUUAUACACUGGAUAUGACUACUUUUCUCACAUAUUUGUAUUUUUGCAUUUUUAAAGUAUGCAAGUGGUUUCUGCAUUUUUUUUUUUUUUUACAGUGAUACUAGUAUUAAUUUGUUUACUGUGGUGUACAUCAAGCAAAACUCAUCUUAUUAAUGGUAUUGAUAUUAGACUGUUGAUUAAGAGGGUCAUUUAAGUCGAAGUUAGGUAGUAUUUUAUACUAUACCUUGCUUUUAUUGGAACCAAGAUUGAAAAUAUUGAUUUUUCUAAAUGCAAGCAUGGAUAAGACUUUUCCAUGUAAGUCCAUUUUCCUAUGUAAAGUAUUUUAGAUUUAAUAAACAAAAUGAUGAAAAUGUACCUGCUCUUUCUCAUUGUCAUCAUUAUUGUUCUGCAUUUGAACAUUAGUUGAUUUUUGCAGUUUUUAGCUUAAAGUCUGAUGUAAAAGAAUGAAUUAUAUUUUCCAUUACAUCUGUUCUACAGUCAUGUAUUAAAAUAGCUACAUAUCAAUUAGGAAUAAUACAGGAUGAAACAUGGAGGAAGUUAAUAAAAAAGGGAUGGAGCUAAGAUAACUGAACUUCCACAUGUGACAAAAUCAAUAAACAAGCAAGUUUCAA